rnacentral:rRNA from 1 species
CUCAAGCACCACAUCAAGCUCUUCGUGGACGCAUGCCAGACCUGCAAACAAGCAAAGCCUGAACGAGUUCGGUAUCCAGGUCUUCUUGAGCCACUGUCGGUUCCCACUCAAGCUUGGCAGAUGGUGUCGUUGGACUUUGUCGAUGGGUUACCUCGCUCGGCUGGUUACAACUCCAUCCUGGUGGUCGUCGAUAAAUUUUCACGGUACGCCCACUUCGUCGCCAUGUCCCAUCCUUUCACAGCCUUCCAAGUGGCUCAAGCUUUCGUGGCUAACAUUUACAAAUUGCAUGGGCUGCCGGAGUCGAUCGUAUCGGAUCGCGACCCGAUCUUCACUAGCGUCUUGUGGAAGGAGCUGUUCAGGCUGACUCAUACCAAGUUGCGCAUGAGUACCGCUCGGCACCCGCAGACAGACGGGCAGACAGAGCGCGUGAAUCAAGGCAUGGAGACUUUCCUGCGCUGUUUCGUCAAUUACACCAACCAAGUGGUACGCCUGGCUGCCUCUCGCGGAAUUCUGGUACAAUACAUCACCGUACUCUGCGCUGGGCACCACUCCCUUCGAGUACUCUACGGACAUGCGCCAAGACACUUCGGCAUCAUCGACCCCGUGGCGUGCGCGUCACCGGACCUGGCGGAUUGGCUCCAAGAUAGGGCGCAAAUGGUGGCGCUCAUGCGGCAGCACCUGUUGCGCGCGCGCCAGCACAUGAAGGACUCAGCGGACAAACGUCGCUCAGAUCGCACAUUUGCGGUGGAUGAUUGGGUCUUCCUCAAGCUCCAACUGUAUGUCCAACGGUCAGUGGCGACAAGGAGCAACCAGAAGCUCUCCUUCCGGUACUUCGGGCCCUACAAGGUGUUGCAGCGCAUUGGUGCAGUGGCCUACAAGCUUCAACUUCCACCGACCAGCACCGUGCACCCAGUCUUCCACGUCUCGCAGCUGCGUCAAGCCCUUCCACCCACUGAGCAGGUCCACCAGCAACUUCCAGCAGCAGCAGCGACAAGCCCCGUUCCUGAGGAGGUUCUGGACAGCUGA